GGUCAAUAUUCCUUCAGCCCCCACAGUAGCCGUGUGCAGUAUAGCAAGCGGUGUUGCUGGGGGAGAAACUCCUGUGGUGACUGUGUGCGGUAUAGCGCAAACAGCUUGGCAGGAGGGGUUGUAAGUAAAAGCUGUGUGCGGUAUAGCAAACAGCUGUGCAGAGGGGUUUUCUGUGGUGCCAUGUGCGGCAUAGCAAGUGGCAGUAUGGAGAUUAUUGAGUACGGGGACAGGGAAGGGUUAAGGGAAGGGUAAAUGUGUUUUAACCAUAUAUGCUUUUUGGGUUCUUGUUUGCAAUAGAUGUAAAAUAUCUGCCCUGAAUCUAUUUUGCAUAAGGGGAAGGAAUUUCACAGGAUAUUUAGCUUUGGUUGCAUUUUAAUUGCAUAAGGAAAACGGGGGGAAACCGUUAAGCUCCUGCGAGGUAUGGUCAUAGCGCGGUAUAGCACGUUACAUUGCGGAGAGAGUGUGGGGGGUUAUUUUUGUGAUUUGUCGAGUGUUUUGUUGAUUGCAUUUAUAUUUGAGCCUUCUGAUGUAUAUCUCUCUUUGUAGCCUGUUUGUUUGCAUUAAGUUGUGUCCUGUUUGUCUUUUCCCUUCUAUUCUUUUGACUGGGUACUCACAGGGUUAAUUUUGUGUCUGUAAAUGC